GGUUGGUCUGAGUGCAGUGGUGUUUACAACUAAUUGAUCACAACCAGUUACAGGUUCCUUUGUUCCUUCUCCACUCCCACUGCUUCACUUGACCAGCCUUUA
rnacentral:Y_RNA from 1 species